rnacentral:rRNA from 1 species
UUAUAUGGAGAGUUUGAUCCUGGCUCAGGACGAACGCUGGCGGCGUGCCUAAUACAUGCAAGUCGAGCGGACGGAUGGGAGCUUGCUCCCUGAAGUCAGCGGCGGACGGGUGAGUAACACGUGGGCAACCUGCCUGUAAGACUGGGAUAACUUCGGGAAACCGGAGCUAAUACCGGAUAAUGCACAGCCUCUCAUGAGGCUAUGCUGAAAGAUGGUUUCGGCUAUCACUUACAGAUGGGCCCGCGGCGCAUUAGC